rnacentral:lncRNA from 1 species
AUGAUGAUGACGGGACGGGGGUUCGGCCGCUGGGCGCCGCGUAACGAGGGGCCCCGCAGACUAACCGGGGCGUGGGGUCCGGCGGUUCCUCGGUGCAGUCCUUCCCGUUCCUCACGUCUUCUGGGCUCCAAGCGGGCUGCCUUCCCCCUCAUGUACAGCAGCCGGGAGCUGGGGGACGCUGCCUCCUCCAGUCCAUGGGAAGCCCCCAGGGAGAGCUCACAGCUGGCAGGUUUCAGUCCAGGUCUCCACCCUGGCUCAGCUGUAUAUCCACCACACAGCCCUCAAAUCACACUGGUAUCCCCACAACCCUUCCCCUUGGGUCAUCCUGUGGGUAGAGGAGCACUGAGCAACACUGGGACAUUUCUAUGGGCCCACAGGUAUUUGCAGCAGCAAACUCAUAGAGCAGACAGAACAUGAAUUACCUCCUCAUUAAGCUCCUGCCUCGUGCUACUGAGGCACAUAAAGAACCUCACACGUCACAUCCCAGCCGCGUACAAAGCUGUCUCCAUGCUGCAUAAAUCAUGCAUAGCCACAUCAUCUGUUAGAGAUGCACAAAGCCGCACUCGCUAAUUAUGCUGAGGAGUACAGCAUUACCUGCAGGAUGCAGCUGCAGUCAGCAACGUACAAUUAGUAAGGCAUAUGCUUCUAGAUUUGAAUGUUACAGCUCUGAUUUUUGCCUCCUUCAGUACAUGGCAGCUCAUACAUCUGGAAGAGGUUGCUGGGACUCUGCAUUCAAUUAACAUCAACAACUUCUGCUUUAUCGCUUUGGAAUGAAACCACAGCACCAAGUGAUUCCAUGCAAGACCCCAGAUGAGUAAGUCCCAGAUGUCUUAUUACACACAGGCUUUUCAUAGCCUAUUUCCAAAUUGGAAAGUGACUUACGAAGCUAAAAUUACCUCUUAUCUACUGAUAUUAUGUGACAUCCACUAGCCAGACACAGGAUUGCUGGGAGAAGACCAGAGCUUACAGUUAUGGCACUCCUAAGGUAUUUUUAAACUAAGUUCACACAGAGGCCCAUGCAAGCACACAGGAUGGAAGCUGUGUGUGCCCCUCUGAUCAGCAGCACAAAUGCCACAUGAUGGGUGUGCCAACAAUACCAGUGGUGUAUCCAGCAAGAGCUAAGGCCAGUUUGAAACCUAUAAAUCUAUUUACAGUAGCAAGGCUCGGUGUAGACUUGUGUUCUCCCAUAUCUACCUGGCUCCAUCUUCAAACAGCAUGGGAAAAAAAAAAAGACACGUCUCCAGUUGUGCUGCUUCCCCUCACAGCAUUAUUUACUUUAGUGCCUGUCCUUGGCAUCAUUCACACUCUGCUGACACCAUUUUUUAGGCUUCAAGUAAUGCUUGUGCUGCACUUCAGCAAACUGAGUGUAAUGCACCAGAGUCCUCUGCUCUCUCCUGAACUUGCAUUCACCUGGAAA